CCCCGCUCCCCUCCCCCCGUUCUUCCCCAUUGCUGCCGCACUUCUCUUUUCCCCCCUUCCUCCCCUUUUCCGCCGCUCUCUCCUCUCCUCCUCGCCCCUCUUCGCCGUCUCCUCAGCCCUGGGCGGGAAGGGCGGCGCGGCGCCCUCAGCAUGGCGGGGUGGAACGACCCCCCCUCCCCCGCGCUCUCCCACCGCCGUUCGAGCCUCCCCUAAAAAAGAAGCGUGUUUGGAGCCGGGAGAGGAGGAGGUGGUGGAAAAAAAGGUGGGGGUGGCACCGCUGCUCUCCCGAAGGCGAAAAGGGAGGGGAGCUCGGAUUUUGCGGGGUUCCAUUUUUAAUGAUCGUUAGGGCCGUAGCGCCGUGUGUUAGAAGGGGCUGGGGGUGCAGACGGUGAGUUUCCAGAGGAAUCGAACCGGCGGGAGGAACGCUGGGAGAGAGGCUGAAGAAAAAGGAGCUGUGGUGUGGCUGCUGUAAUGGUGGAAAGCUGACGGAGAGAGGAGGGUGAGGCACACGCGGGGUGAGACGGCUCCAGCCCUGCGUGUGGGGUCCGUGGGGGGGGGAGGCGGGGGGGGACGGGCAGAAAACGUUUUGUUCCCGUUAAAAUGGGAGCGAGGAUGCGUUUCGUUGGCACAUCCUCGUUCCCCCAUCGCUCUUCAUAUCGCUGUGCCCGUAGCAGCCGUCAGGAAGAUCAUGGAGGGUGUUUCCUGCGAGAGGAAAAAGGAGCUUUUUUUUCUCCUUGAAGAUGUUAAGAAUACCGUUUCUGCUCCCGGUUUAGUGUGGAGAUGGUUUUGAAUCUGAUUUAUUUCAUCUUCUUCUUAACCCGUGGAAUGGGGUUUCUAAAUGGGUGGAUUGUUAUUUCUACAGCUUUGUGUGAAAUUCUCUUAAUGGUGUGAAGUAUGUUUAAAAAAAAAAAAAAAGAGCUGUUUUAAUUAAAGAAAUAAUCUUGUCCAGGAGGAAAUCAGAAUGAUAUAAAAGAUGUCUAUUAUUCCCAAAGGCGAUCUGAAAUGUUAACAAAUGUGAUGUUUCGUGUUAUUUUCUAGUCAUAGGUGGGACUGCUUUAAAAUAAGGCAUCCUUAUGCCACGUUAUUAUGCAUUGUCCCCACAGCAGAAAAUAGGAGGAAAGCAUUGAAUGCGAGGGGUCCUGGGGACAGCUCUGGGGAAUUGGUGGCUCAGCUCGGCGAGGUGAUGGAGAAGCAAAAAAUUAAAGGUUUUGCUGCCCCUAAUCGUGAGACUUAUCCCGUAUUUUAAGCUGAUCUGCCAGCCACAAGGAUGUGUGCAUCGAGACAAAACGCUGCCGAUGUUUGUGAAAUGCAUGCAGAAAACGCAGACGCUCUUCAGCUCUCAAUUUGUUCGAAAUGUGACAUCUUAAAGGACUUCUUCCCCCCUGUGUGCUUUAGGAGAGGAGAAAGAGAAGGGACGAUAAUAGUGUGGUUGUUUUGGUGGCUGCCGAUUAACCAGGGUGUGUGUUUGAUUUUCUUUUCGCUGUGAAUGAAUGGAUCUUUCUGUGCCUGGGCCCAGUAGCUGCAACAAGAUGGCGUUUGCAGCAAGGCAGCUCUCAUUUUUCAACUCCUCCUCACCACAGCUUGGCCAAACUCGAUCUUAUUUCGUAAUUCCUGUUGCUGAAAAAAGGUAUUUUAAAUCUAGAAGACAGGUAUGCAAAGGCUUUCCUGCCAAGGCAGUGUGCUGCUGCUGAUUCCUCUUGGCCAGGUAACAACCUGCAGGCGGUUCCAUUCGUGUAACAUAGAAAUCUCCCAUCUCUCUCAGUGCUUGUGGUGUGGGCGGAGGCUUUUUAGGCUGCUUUUGGCCCCAAAAUGUUACCAUACUUGUGUAUGUACGUUCUUAGUUUUAUGGAGAAGAGUAAGAAAGGCUUUAGAGAUAUUAAAGCAGUUCUUUGUCGCUGAGAUACUAUAUUGUAAGAUAAUAUAGAGAUUUAUAAAAUUAUAAUUUUGAAUUUUUUUUAAAGGAUUUUCAGUUGAUAAUUUUGGUGAGAUUUCAGCAUGCUUCCAAGCUUAACUUUGGUAACCUAAAUAAAAUAGCUUGGUUAAUAUUUGGUAUACUGGGCUCAGGCUUAAAAUCACACAGAACCCGGUAGGAAAAAAGAAGAAAUGUCUGUUUUGUCUCCUGGAUUCAGAUGACCUCCAAACCCUUGGUAACAUCAAGCUUUCUAGUAGAGUUUAUCUUUGACUUGUUAUAUCAACCAGUGCUUUGUUACUUUACUGUAACAGCCAUAGCCCAGCUGUCCUUCAUACAGAAGGAAGCAGAAGGCCCACUUUGCAGGUGGGGGUUGUGUGGUUGGUUCGUGUGUGGUGGUGUUUGUUAGGGGGGGAAUAAUAAAAGCUGAAAUGAUCCAAAUGCAUAUUGCUCCUGUGGUGUGUCAGGAAUGAAAUUUUAAAAACAAUGCUUCUCCCAUACACUGGCAGUUCCAUUGCUUGGUACUUCUAAAGUGCUGAUGUACUUGAAAUUAACUGUGUGGGUUUUUUUUGCUAGUAGUACUUUGGCCUUUCAGUAUGGGAUUGGAAAGGAGUAGAAGGAAGUGAGAUCUCAUCUUAGGAUAAAUUACUUGUAUGCAUGUCUGGUCCUUGCACAGCUGCUAGGUCAGUACAUAGCAAGCAUCCUGCCAUGACAUGUUUGACAAUGUGUAAAUCCAGAAUUCCAAAGUAAAUCCUAGGAGAUGGAAAUCUGAAAAUGCUGUAUUUAGACUUAAUGAGAAUUUAUGUGUAAGUAACAAACAUAAUUUAGUCUUACGUUAAUGGAGAAGUAAUGUAGAACUUUGUGUAGCUGUAUUCUUGAUAUCAUCCAAGAAUGAGCAUUGUACAGCUAUUAAAACUUCAAACUGGAACAAUUAAAACUAAUAUCUUGAGAAUAAGAAUUUUUUUUUCAAUUAAUGCAAUUAAUUUUGAGAUCAUUUAAUUAUAGUAGCUAUAUAUAUCUCUUAUGUUUUUAGGAUGCUUUUUCUUGAAAUGAAGCAGGAUGAUGUCAGCUGCAGUACGUCAUACCAGGAAGUCGUGGUGCUUGGAGGCUUCAGUUUGGUCAUGUGGGAAACAACUCGGUGUUAACUGUUUCUUCUUAGGAGUUGUGGUUUCUCAAUCACAGUAUGAAAUGAGAUACAGUUCAUAUGGAACUGGUGCUGCUUUUGCAGAUUCUUAUGCCUACUGCUUUAAUUAGGAAUACUAAGAAAGCAUUGCAUUUAUUUAGUUCUGUAGUUGCUACGGUAGAAAAGUGGAGCUCCUUGCUGCCUGGGAGAACAGCAGUAGAUUUGUCUCCUGUAUGUUGGGCUUGGCUCGUGUUGUAGUCACUGAAUUGGAUUAAAUUCUUACUGUCCGUGGAUUUUGGCUCUCAGCAUUAGUGGAUUGGUAAUUGAUAUUCUCAAUUUUAAUAUCCAGUUUUAGCCAUAUGGCAUACCGUAUUGUUUCAAGAAGUCCAUUUAGCGCUGGUUUGUUACUAGUAAGUUGAAAAGAGAAAUCCUGCUUUCAAGUGGUUGAAUUAUGCUUUGGCAAAUCUUCUUUGGAGUCUCUAAUGCCUAUGUUCGUGGCAGUAUGUAGGGUAUUUUUUUACAGUAUUUUACUGCUCGUGUUGGGAAAAAUAUCUGUAACCUUGAGUGAGAUUUUAAACGGUAAAUAUGAUUAAAAAUAAGGUGGAAUUUUUUAAGGGAAGUCUCUUGAUGGCUCAAAGUUCCAUCUCAAAAUGAAGAGAAUGCAUUGUACAUUCAAAAUGUCUUUUUCUCCCCACUGAUAAUGUUGUAAUUUGUAUCACCAUAAAAAAACAAAAAUACCCCCCAGCCCCUCUGUUUCUAUUUAAUGGAGAAUUUCAAUGUAUUAUUUCUUCCCAGGGUGUCUAAUUGUGCUAGGGAUUUGUGUGCCUGGAUUUGUUUCUCACCAAACAGAACUGUAUGCAGAUCCAUAGACAACUGAGCCAACUGGUAGUUCAGCAGAAUGUUAAGAGGCUUUUAAAAUCAUUGAGCUGACUGCUAGCAGCACCUUUACUUGAGAUGCCAAAAAGAAUGUGAGUUACUGAGUAAGGCUUCUUAGGACAAAAAUGACGACAUUCCAGAAUGGGUUUUCCAGCAGAAUGUCGUGUUCUUAGUGAAGCACCAGAGGACUUUAACCAUCUCCUUGAUGCAGAAGCCUUCUAAGGAAAUCACACAUUCCAAAAAAACUUUUGAAGGGAACUUUAAGAUCAGAUAUUUUAUUGAUCUGUUUUGUUAACAGUCAGCCUAUUAAGUUCUGUUCUUUACAAUGAAUAGCUUGUGCAUCUAUUUAUUCAUGUUGAAUGUAUAUAUCUAUUAGGUUUAUUCAAGUAGUAUAGCAUGUGCUGUGAUAAGUCAGAUUCUUGAAAUACGAUGCAAUAUUUCUGAUCAUGUGGAAGACUGCAUUUGAAAUCUUGAGCAUACUAAGUGUAAAGGAAAAGGUUUGCUUUCUCAGUAUGGUCUUAGGCACCCAAGGCUGGUUCUUCUUGAGCCCAGUGGGAGAGUAAUGACUUCAGAAUGUUCAUCUGCCAUCUGGAAGCAGCCAAGACCUGGUGCACUACCUGUGUCUUUUGUACAGUGUCACUGGGAUGCUGUAUGCAGCUGCCCAGAAGACUGUAAGUGUUAGUAAAAAUACAUCUACAGGGAUGUUAUGGAAGCAUAAGUUGUAGCAAGUCUUGGAAGUAACUCUAAAUUCUAUCCAGGAUUUUUAUUGCUGUCCUAAACACUGAGUUGUUAAGUUAUUAAAUGAGGACCCUCCCACAAAAUGUUACACAUUGACCUGGUUAUUGAAAUUAGAGUUCAUUGGAAGGUGAGGGGGAAGGGAGAGGACACAGGAGACAAUAAGUGCUUGAGAAAGUAGUUGUUGAGCAAAUUCUUCAGUUAUGUAGGUGUUGCAAGAUUUAAGUCCUGUGAAAAUGGAUACAAAUAACUGUAGCCAGUUUAAAAUAGUCCUGCUUCAAGAAGACCUGUCUUUGGAUUAACAGAUUUAGGAAGAAAAGAAUUGGAGUAUCUGUUGAUCUGGUGGGAUUGAAGGGCAAAAUGUGGUCUGUCUGUGCCUUAGCAGUUUUGGAAUCCUAAGGUAUAAAUGGAAAUGAGUCUGAAGACCUAAAGAAGGUGAUCUUGGGGAGCUUCAAGGAUGUGAGGUAUGAGGUACCUCUGUGACUGAUGAUGGAAAAGAAUGACUACAUCUUCAAAUUAUUUUCAUUGUUAGUAUGUAUAAUUUUUAGUUCUAAAGUGAAGGGAAAGAAUGAUUAAAAAUCUAAUUGCCGUUUUAAUGAGAAAUGCUACUCAUUGCUCUAAGUAGUUUCCUUGAAACUGCUUCAUCACAAGUAUAUUUAUAUUUGAUUAAUUAGAAUUUCAGGCUGUCAAAUCAUUGCAGUUUCUAAAGGUUUGUAGAAAAAUACCCUUUAUAUGUUGUAAAGAUUAAUUGAAUUUUAGAUAGCGAAAUACUUUGGCUUUUCUGCAUGUUCCUACACUGGUCAGAGAAACAGGAAGGUUCACUUAAAACUUCUCGCCAAUUAUGUUGACCAUGUUUUCUCACAUGCUCCCCCAAAAAGAAAAUAUUAAUUAUCCAUAAUUGGAGGAAUUAGAUCAUUUUUUGUAGCUUGAUGUAAUGCAGUACAGUAUUAAAAGCUAUGUCAGGGUUUUUGACACUAUUUACAGCUUUUUAAAGUUUUCCUUCUAGAAAAACAGGUAAAAACAUAAAAACACUGAGGUUUGGAGAGUCCUGCGUGCAGUCUUUCAGACUGAUUUUGGGUAUAAUAUUUUACCAAUUCGUGUAUCAGUGAGGGCUUUGUUCAUCCUUAGGCAAAGUGCAAAGCAUAAGCUGAAAGCUGUUUUAUUUUUGUGAAAUGCUGAAACCAAUUUCCAACGCUCUUCUGACAGAAGAACUUGUAAUUCUUUAUGUGAGUAGAAACUGAAAUAGAAGCACCUAGUGUUAGUGGUGUGCAAAGUACCGUAAUGACUUUCUCAUUCUUAUUGGAACAUCUGUGGUAAUGUAGGGUAUGGUUACUGGGCUUCCUUUGCUGUGCAGGCUGUUAAGCCUAUAAAUGUUUUGGAGGAUUAUGUAGUAUGCUUGUGUCUGUCCAGAUGUCACGCCUUGCAACCUACUGCCUGAAUAUUGGUGUCCUUUUGUAACUGGUAGGGAAUGCAGCUUCUGAAAGCAGAGUUGAACUGCCCCAGUAUGUUCUGUUUUAAAAUCAGAACGCUUUGUGUUCAAUUGAGCUAUUGGGGCUAUUUUAGGUAUUUAAGUGUUGUAGAGAAACAGAGGUGGGAUGUAAGUCAGAGCCCCACAGUUGAAAAUAGACAGAUGAUGAUUUGAAUGUGCUUUUUUUUGUUGUUUUUUUUUUUAGAGCUUGGUUACCUUUAAUAGCAAAAUUCAUGAAGGCAAGUAGAAAUGUUCACUCUGAACAGCACUAACAAGAAGUCUUCAAGCUUCGUCUUAUCUGUGUACAGUAGUAUUAAUUUCUAGUGGGAUCUUUAUAGUGAAAAUCAGUGUAGUGAGUCUGUUCCUGCCAUAUAUGUAAUUAGUUCUGCUCCUUUUAAUUGUUGAGCUGAUGCGUCUUAAUUAACACCAAAUGAUUCAAGGUAUGUGUUAGAUACUGAACACAGCAAUACUUGACUCUCAAAAUGUAAGUUAUGUUAACUUUUAUGUAGCUCGUAAAAUAUCAUGACUUACAGCUGCAUAAUACAAAACUUAGCACACGUUUUGUUUUCAGUAAAUAAAACAGUACUACUCAAUGAAGCAGUCCUGUAUGUGUGUGCUUCAGGAUGCUGAGGAGAAAUCUGAUUCUGAUCCUGUUGGAUUUCUCCAGUUUGGAGAGUGGUGGUGGUGGUAAUUUUUUCUGUUUGUCUAGAGAAACAAAGUAGACGUGAUAGUCUGCUGCAACCUCUGGUACUCAAAAUAAGAUUAUAGUGUACUAAUUAAAGAACUCUCUUUGUUGGAACAUAUGUUUGGUAUUCCUGUCGCAUGCUCUUUGUGAGUUGGUAGAACACUGAAGAUUCAGACAGAUAUGUUGCUGUCUGUGUAGCGAGGCUGUUGUCUGUAUGGAGAUCAAGAACGAUUCGCUUGGUGCUUGAAGUAAUUUCAUUGUGCCCCAGGUUGUGUAAUCCUGGACUUUCACUACAGGUUGACAAAGAUGCUAUCUGGUUAGUGGUGCAUUGGUCUGCUGUGUCUGAAAACUUGGACUUAGAAUUGUGUUUCUUGCUUAUCCAAACCUACUAUAAUGGAUGGUCAGAUUUUUGUGGAUAAAUGAUGCAGAAAUACGUAAUUUUCAGUUAUACACCAAAUAAAUCAAUUUUUAAUUGUACACAUUGAAACCAUAGGCUGUGUUAUUCAAAGAAAAAUCUUCAAACUAUAAUAAUCUUUGACUUCUACCAUGAUUGCCUAGAGUAAAGAAAAAAUGUAUUUUUAGUAUGAUAGAGUUCUUCAGAACAUUUUAGAAAUCUUGUUAAAGUCUUUAGAUGUGACAAGAAGCCCAGUAAUCCUCAUACCUGCUUUUAGUCUGACUUCUGUCCUUCCUGUGACUCAGAUGGUAGAAUUCAUAAUAAAUUAGGCUUUGCAGCAUUGUUUAUUUGCUGCUCUGGGAACUGUACAUAAAGCAUUAAGCUGCGUCACUAAGCUAGCAGUGUCGGUGUGUUUACCUGGAUGUUUACCCUGGGGAAUUCCAGACAUGCUUCAGUUUGUUCUGAUUUCUCAGUCUAAUUUAUCCUGUAGUAUCUUUUGUUUCUGUUCCUUUAUAUCCUUGCAGUUGUGAGUUAAACUCAGAAGGGAUCGCUCUGGGGAAGGCAGGUAUUGCUGCCCUCUGUCGCAAAAGGUAGCAUAGACAUCUGCUGUUCUGCUGCCCUGCCAGUUCUUAAUCUUGCAUGUGAAGCAAACCAGGAUGGCAAAUGGUUUACUGCCAGGCACUGUGCUGUAAAACUGUGAUAGAUCAGCUCCUGGGUAAUGAGCAGCUCAGCUCUUAGGGAAGAUGACGGAACUUAGAAAUGAGUUGAGAGGGAAGCUGGAGCUGGAAACAACUACAGCUUUGUUGUUCACAUGGCAGUCCUUAAUAUUCUGUAUAAGGCCUAUCUUCAGAGCUCUCCUUUUCUGUUUUUAAAGGACCACAACGAUUGAUACAUUGCCUGUUAGUUAAUGUGUUUACUGUUGUAAAAACAAACUCAAAAAUGCCUUCCCCAUCGCCCCCCACCCAAAAAACCCAUGUAGUUCUGCACAAUAGUAGUGUUGGGUGGCUCCACAUAAAUGUGGUGUUUUUUUUUUAUUAGAGUAUUUUCCUUUACUUUGUUCACUAGAUGUGUUUCAGGAGGAAUACAGCUGCUACACAAAGAAUAAUGCCAGAAGUUUUAAGAGGGUUAAUGCGGUACUGUAGAACAAGGAAUGUCUAAGCAUGAAAGCAAGUAUUUCUUGUCCUGUUGUACCUUUGUGCUCUCUCUUGUGGUACUGUUGCUGGGUUGUACUUGAAGUUUACAUUCCAUAUCACAUUAAGCAUUGUUGCAUUGUCUCGUCUCAGAUACCCCUUCUCAGUCUGCUGGCUUUGAGGUCUUCUGUGUUACUCUACUUUUCAGUCCAUCAACCUUGUUUUUGUUCUUCCUGCACUUUAUCUGAACUGUUUUGUAUCAGCAGUACAUAUCAAAACACAGCAAUUGCUGGCAGAAAUCAAUGAGCACUAGGAGGUAUAAAUUAUUGGAAAGAAAAUUAAUGGAACUGCUUGUGCAUUGACUAAAGAUGGAUUAUGUUGAUUGCGGGGCUAGGGAACGAUGUAUUGCUCAAUCUAUUUUGGUUAAAAAAAAUAAUAAGGAAAUCAUGCCAUAGUUUAAUCUCUGAGUCAUCUUUAUCUGCUAUAUGCAUAAAAUACUUCUUGUUUGUUUUAAGGUCCACUAAAAUACUUUUCUUCUUUCAUGGUGUAACAUAACUUCUUUCCAGUGAUGCUCUAGGAAUCUGUUCCUCAGGAUCAGUGUGCAGUUCCAAUCUGUAAGUGAACUACCAUACUUUUGUUGAGGCAAGAUGUGGCAGUUGCAGUAGUUAUUUGUAAUUAUAAAAUAGGCAGGUUAGAACUCAGCUGUCUCUGAAAUGGGAUGCCUGGCCAGUUUGAUGAAAUUGAUGCACUUCACCGAUAAAUGUGUUGCUCUUUGGAAAGAAGAAUUGCAUACAGAUAAUUUUGAACAAAACAAUAGAAACUAACAUAGUGGCUUUUGACAUAAUUAACUAAAAUGUUGUUGAAAACAGUAAUUUUUGUUCUUAAAGUAAGUUAACUUUCUAUGCCAGCCAUUUAACAAGAAAUUCACAUUUGAAGUGUUUUAAAUGUGAAUUUCUUUCUGAAUGAGACAGAGAAGGUGCGAUUAGGAAGUUUUUUGACUUGAAUUCCUGAAGUUAAAAUAGUUACUAAUAUUUUAACUACUUCAGAGAUCUCAUAAGACCCCUUUCUUGAGAAGCGUGUGCUUGUAGUAGUCCCCUUGUUUUUAUUAAAUUCUCUGCUAUUCCUAGAGUUAAGAUUUUUAAUAAUACACAUAGCUUACAGAUGAAUUUAGGAAGGAUUAAUCAAGUGACCUGUUACAGCCCAGACUUUUAUGCUUAAAUACUACAUCAGUAUGAUUUUUUUUAAAUGUAGGUCAUGGGAUUAGCAUCAGGAAAUGUGCACAUUUUGGCAGCGGGGAUGCUAUGCUGUCUUCCAUGAAGGCAGCUUUUAUUCACUGCUGGGGGCAGAAGGAGUCAGCCAUGAGCUGCAGAGCUGUGUGUUACAGGUGUGUGUCCCUGCCAUGAACUUCAUUGCUGUUCUCUGCUGAUCAGUAUUAUAUUUUGAGGGAAUGGCAAACUAUCCUAAAGGUUUAUUUUCAAAUAAAGGGAACGAUGAGUCCUCAGGUAUUAGAAAAUCUGGGUAUGCAAGCAAAAGCUGGUGGUUUAUGCAAAGCAGGUCCAGCUGGAGAUGGAUGAUUGCUCAGUAGAUGUUCUGUGUGGCCUUGCUGCAUGAUAAUAGCCUCUGGCACACUGAGGAUUUUGCACAUGAAGUAAACCUCUAAACUUCUGAAAUAUGGGUUUGUACUCAGAGUUCUGAACUAAAACAAUGAUAUCUUGAAGGGUAUUCUGUAAUGUGUUACUGCUCCUUUGAGGUUCUAGCUAUCUGAUAAAACUGUUUAGAUUGAAAGUGGGGGCUGAUCAAUCAAACUGUGAGGGUAAUUCUUUGUAUGUACAGAAUAGCUCUGAAACGCAGCUUUAAAUUUCAGACUUCUAAUUACUGUUUCCCAGUGGUAUAGCUGGAACUCUGUGUCACUGGCAGUGGUUUGGGAAGGCUGUGUAAUCCCUUGG
ensembl:lncRNA